rnacentral:rRNA from 1 species
AACGAACGCUGGCAGCAUGCCUAACACAUGCAAGUCGAACGAGACCUUCGGGUCUAGUGGCGCACGGGUGCGUAACGCGUGGGAACCUGCCCUUAGGUUCGGAAUAACUCCCCGAAAGGGGUGCUAAUACCGGAUAAUGUCUUCGGACCAAAGAUUUAUCGCCUUUGGAUGGGCCCGCGUUGGAUUAGCUAGUUGGUAGGGUAAAAGCCUACCAAGGCGACGAUCCAUAGCUGGUCUGAGAGGAUGAUCAGCCACACUGGGACUGAGACACGGCCCAGACUCUUACGGGAGGCAGCAGUGGGGAAUAUUGGACAAUGGGCGAAAGCCUGAUCCAGCAAUGCCGCGUGAGUGAUGAAGGCCUUAGGGUUGUAAAGCUCUUUUACCCGGGAUGAUAAUGACAGUACCGGGAGAAUAAGCUCCGGCUAACUCCGUG